rnacentral:rRNA from 1 species
AUGAACGCUGGCGGCGUGCCUAAUACAUGCCAGUCGAGCGAACGGACGAGAAGCUUGCUUCUCUGAUGUUAGCGGCGGACGGGUGAGUAACACGUGGAUAACCUACCUAUAAGACUGGGAUAACUUCGGGAAACCGGAGCUAAUACCGGAUAAUAUUUUGAACCGCAUGGUUCAAAAGUAAAAGACGGUCUUGCUGUCACUUAUAGAUGGAUCCGCGCUGCAUUAGCUAGUUGGUAAGGUAACGGCUUACCAAGGCAACGAUGCAUAGCCGACCUGAGAGGGUGAUCGGCCACACUGGAACUGAGACACGGUCCAGACUCCUACGGGAGGCAGCAGUAGGGAAUCUUCCGCAAUGGGCGAAAGCCUGACGGAGCAACGCCGCGUGAGUGAUGAAGGUCUUCGGAUCGUAAAACUCUGUUAUUAGGGAAGAACAUAUGUGUAAGUAACUGUGCACAUCUUGACGGUACCUAAUCAGAAAGCCACGGCUAACUACGUG